UACGGAGGAUGCGAGCGUUAUCCGGAUUUAUUGGGUUUAAAGGGUGCGUAGGCGGACGCUUAAGUCAGCGGUAAAAUUGCGGGGCUCAACCUCGUCGAGCCGUUGAAACUGGGUGCCUUGAGUGGGCGAGAAGUACGCGGAAUGCGUGGUGUAGCGGUGAAAUGCAUAGAUAUCACGCAGAACUCCGAUUGCGAAGGCAGCGUACCGGCGCCCAACUGACGCUGAGGCGCGAAAGCGUGGGGAGCAAACAGG
rnacentral:rRNA from 1 species